UACGAAGGGGGCUAGCGUUGUUCGGAUUUACUGGGCGUAAAGCGCACGUAGGCGGGUCGUUAAGUCGGGGGUGAAAUCCUGGAGCUCAACUCCAGAACUGCCUUCGAUACUGGCGACCUAGAGUCCGGAAGAGGUGAGUGGAACUCCUAGUGUAGAGGUGGAAUUCGUAGAUAUUAGGAAGAACACCAGUGGCGAAGGCGGCUCACUGGUCCGGUACUGACGCUGAGGUGCGAAAGCGUGGGGAGCAAACAGG
rnacentral:rRNA from 1 species